GACGAACGCUGGCGGCGUGCCUAAUACAUGCAAGUCGAACGCAGUGGGGACGGGUGAGUAACACGUGGGUAACCUCCCAUCAGAGGGGAUAACACUUGGAAACAGGUGCUAAACCGAUACUGAUGGAUGGCACCGCGGUGAAGUAGCUAGUUGGUGAGGUAACGGCUCACAAAGGACACGAUGCAUAGCCGACCGGAGAGGGUGAUCGGCCACACUGGAACUGAGACACGGCCCAGACUCCUACGGGAGGCAGCAGUAGGGAAUCUUGGGCAAUGGGCGAAAGUCUGACCGAGCAACGCCGAGUGAUGGAAGAAGGUUGUCGGAUCGGAAAACUCUGUUGGUAGAGAAGCGGUAUCUAACCAGAAAGCCACGGCUAACUACGUGCCAGCAGCCGCGGUAAUAC
rnacentral:rRNA from 1 species